rnacentral:rRNA from 1 species
ACCAGCACGUUAUGGUGGCACUCUAAGGAGGACUGCCGGUGACAAACCGGAGGAAGGUGGGGAUGACGUCAAGUCAUCAUGGCCCUUACGGCCUGGGCUACACACGUGCUACAAUGGUCGGUACAAAGGGUUGCCAAGCCGCGAGGUGGAGCUAAUCCCAUAAACCGAUCGUAGUCCGGAUCGCAGUCUGCAACUCGACUGCGUGAAGUCGGAAUCGCUAGUAAUCGUGAAUCAGAAUGUCACGGUGAAUACGUUCCCGGGCCUU